CAAUGUUAUAACUGCUCAACAA
rnacentral:siRNA from 1 species